rnacentral:rRNA from 1 species
CCUACGGGCGGCAGCAGUGAGGAAUAUUGGUCAAUGGACGUAAGUCUGAACCAGCCAAGUCGCGUGAAGGAUGACGGCCCUAGGGAUUGUAAACUUCUUUUAUAUGGGAAUAAAAUGUUCCACGUGUGGGGUUUUGUAUGUACCUUAUGAAUAAGGAUCGGCUAACUCCGUGCCAGCAGCCGCGGUAAUACGGAGGAUCCGAGCGUUAUCCGGAUUUAUUGGGUUUAAAGGGUGCGUAGGUGGCUUGUUAAGUCAGUUGUGAAAGUUUGUGGCUCAACCGUAAAAUUGCAGUUGAAACUGGCAGUCUUGAGUACAGUAGAGGCGGGCGGAAUGCGUGGUGUAGCGGUGAAAUGCUUAGAGAUCACGAAGAACCCCGAUUGCGAAGGCAGCUCACUGGACUGCAACUGACACUGAGGCUCGAAAGUGUGGGUAUCAAACAGGAUUAGAUACCCGAGUAGUC